AUUGAACGCUGGCGGCAGGCCUAACACAUGCAAGUCGAACGAGUGGCGGACGGGUGAGUAAUGUCUGGGAAACUGGCCGAUGGAGGGGGAUAACUACGGGAAACGGUAGCUAAUACCGCAUACCAUCGGAUGUGCCCAGAUGGGAUUAGCUAGUUGGUGGGGUAAUGGCUCACCUAGGCGACGAUCCCUAGCUGGUCUGAGAGGAUGACCAGCCACACUGGAACUGAGACACGGUCCGGACUCCUACGGGAGGCAGCAGUGGGGAAGAUUGCGCAAUGGGCGCAAGCCUGAUGCAGCCAUGCCGCGUGUAUGAAGAAGGCCUUCGGGUUGUAAAGUACUUUCGGCGAGGAGGCGUUACUCGCAGAAGAAGCACCGGCUAACUCCGUGCCAGCAGCCGCGGUAAUAC
rnacentral:rRNA from 1 species